rnacentral:misc_RNA from 1 species
GAAAUGCGAUAAUUAAUGUGAAUUGCAGAAUUCAGUGAAUCAUCGAGUCUUUGAACGCACAUUGCGCCCCCUGGUAUUCCGGGGGGCAUGCCUGUCCGAGCGUCAUUGCUGCCCUCAAGCACGGCUUGUGUGUUGGGCUUCCGUCCCUGGCAACGGGGACGGGCCCAAAAGGCAGUGGCGGCACCAAGUCUGGUCCUCGAGCGUAUGGGGCUUUGUCACCCGCUCCCGUAGGUCCAGCUGGCAGCUAGCCUCGCAACCAAUCUUUUUAACCAGGUUGACCUCGGAUCAGGUAGGGAUACCCGCUGAACUUAAGC